ensembl:snRNA U6 U6 spliceosomal RNA
GUGCUGGCUUCAGUGGUACAUAUAGUAAAAUUAAGACAACGUUGAGAAGAUCAGCAUGGUCCCCGCACAAGGAUGACACAGAAAUCUGUAAGGUGUUGCAUAUUUCU